rnacentral:rRNA from 1 species
ACUAGCCCGCUACCCAGAUAAUCUAAAACCAAUUCACUAACCCAAACAUUUUUACGAGCUAAGUAUAGGAGAUAGAAAAGAACCCCAGGAGCUAUAGAGACAGUACCGCAAGGGAAAGUUUAANAUACCAAGUUAAAUAAAGCAAAGAUAGACCCUUGUACCUUUUGAAUAAUGGUUUAACUAGUCCAAACAAGCUAAAAGAGCUAAGCUUUUUACCCCGAAAUCAAGUGAGCUACUUAUAAGCGUACAGAAAUAAUUCGGCUCUGUGGCAAAAGAGCGAAAAGACUAAUAAGUAGAGGCGAAACACCUACCGAACAUGAAGAUAGCUGGUUACUUAUUAAANNAAUCUAAGUUCUACCUUAACUCACCCAACCCUCCUUAAACAAAGAGAAAUGAAAGAUUUAAGAGAUAUUUAAUAGGGGUACAGCCCUAUUAAAAUAGGAAACAGCCUAUACAAGAGGAAAGAGAAUUACACCAAACCGUAGCCUUAAAGCAGCCACCAAAAUAUAAAGCGUUAAAGCUAAUUAACACCAACACCAACCUUUUUAAUCCAACCCUAAACAACAAUAAGUCAUACUAUAAUAAUAUAACAGAAUUAAUGUUAAAAUGAGUAACAAGAAAAAGAUUUCUCCGUGCAUCCGCAUAAGCCAGACUAGACAACCUACUGGUCAUUACACAAUAAUUGAAUAUUACACAACGAACAAUAAUAUUAAUCUAACUGUUAACCCAACACAGGCAUGCACCUAGGAAAGAUUAAACUCACCAGAAGGAACUCGGCAACACCGGGCCCCGACUGUUUACCAAAAACAUAACCUUUAGCUAAUCAAGUAUUAAAGGCGCCUCCUGCCCAGUGAAAAUUAAACGGCCGCGGUAUUCUGACCGUGCAAAGGUAGCGUAAUCAAUUGUCUCCUAAAUGAAGACUAGUAUGAACGGAGAAACGAGGGCCCAACUGUCUCCUGGCGAAAAUCAGUGAAAUUGAUCCCCUUGUGCAAAAGCAAGGAUAAAACCAUAAGACGAUAAGACCCCGUGGAGNAUAAACAUCAGAGUCAAUUAUACAUGUUGAAUCCACCAGGAAUAAAAUCAAAAAAUGACCCCCUCUGUUUUGGCUGGGGCGGCCUCGGAAUAAAAAAAAACUUCCGAAAACCUCAUUUAGACCAACAAGUCAAAACAUAAAAUACUUGACCCAAUAUUAUUGAUUAUUGAACCAAGUUACCCCAGGGAUAACAGCGCCAUCCCCUUCGAGAGCCCAUAUCGACAAGGGAGAUUACGACCUCGAUGUUGGAUCAGGACAUCCUAGUGGUGCAACCGCUACUAAGGGUUCGUUUGUUCAACGAUUACAGUCCAUCGUGAUCUGAGUUCAGACCGGAGCAAUCCAGGUCGGUUUCUAUCUAUGACAUACUAUUUCCCAGUACGAAAGGAUCGAAACAGUAGGGCAUAACCGCAAGCAAGCCCUGCCCUUAAUUAAUGAAACAAAAUAAAUUAAUUAACUGGGAUCUCCCCCACGCCCUAAACCAGGGCU